rnacentral:rRNA from 1 species
ACACUCCUGCGGGAGGCAGCAGUGGGGAAUUUUACGCAAUGGGGGAAACCCUGACGUAGCGACACCGCGUGAGCGAAGAAGCCCUUUGGGGUGUAAAGCUCUGUCAGCUGGAACGAAAACAAUGACGGUACCAGCAGAGGAAGCAUCGGCUAACUACGUGCCAGCAGCCGCGGUAAGACGUAGGAUGCGAGCGUUGUCCGGAUUUAUUGGGCGUAAAGAGUUCGUAGGUGGUUUGUUAAGUUUGGUGUUAAAGAUCGGGGCUCAACCCUGGGACUGCACUGAAUACUGGCAGACUCGAGUGUGGUAGAGGCUAGUGGAAUUCCCAGUGUAGCGGUGAAAUGCGUAGAUAUUGGGAAGAACACCGGUGGCGUAGGCGACUAGCUGGGCCAUAACUGACGCUGAGGAACGAAAGCCAGGGGAGCGAAUGGGAUUAGAAACCCCGGUAGUCCC